rnacentral:siRNA from 1 species
UAAAAUCGAAAUAAAGAUGUA